UAAGAAGAGGAAAAGAGACCUGAGUUAGCACACUCAAACUCCUCACCAUGCGAUGCUCUGUGCCUCCUUGGGACUCUGCAGAGAGUCCCUACCAAUAAGAAGGCUCUCACCAGAUGUGGCCCCUCAACUUUGGACUGCUUAGCUUCCGUAACUGGAAAUGCCACAAGACUAGGCCGUGCAACAUUUCCGCAGUGCUCCUCGCUACAAAGACAUUCCCCUAAGGCUGGUGGGCAACUCAACACUCAGCUCAGUACGUGGUCAGCUCGUCCUCCAUAGGAGCCUUAUGCCUUGGUGAGGAGAUCUCUGAAGAAAUUGCUGAUGAAAGUCCAACAGGCUCUUCCAGUUUGUCUGGUCGGUCACAUUUGCUGAAACCUGGAGGAAUUGUUAGUGGAAGCUCAACAGGCCUGACUCAGUCUGACUGUCCAUUCUUCUGGAAGCUGCAGAGAAAAGAAACCUGGAAACCUUAUAUGCUGACAAAAAGGGACACAAUUGGAUAUGAUGGUUAUUUUACCAAGGUUUUGAAAUGUCGUGCUUUCAAAUAUAAACAGACUGCUUUAAGGAAUCGAAGUUGACUUAUAGAGCCAAUAAAAGCCCUGCAGGAAAGCUGGCCUCAUACUUUGUCUACACAGUCUCUGUACAGGUUUCCUGACCUGUGAGACAACAUCACUAUUGCAAAACCUAAGAUCAGUGCUGGAGAUAUUUUGCAGACCCU
rnacentral:lncRNA from 1 species